AGAAGCUUAGGUUAGACCACCUAAACCGGAGGCCUUCAAAGCCUCAAACAAGAGUGAAACCCUCUUAGCUUCUG
rnacentral:tRNA from 1 species